AGCGAACGCUGGCGGCAGGCUUAACACAUGCAAGUCGAGCGGGCCCUUCGGGGUCAGCGGCAGACGGGUGAGUAACGCGUGGGAACGUGCCCUUCGGUUCGGAAUAACUCAGGGAAACUUGAGCUAAUACCGGAUACGCCCUUAUGGGGAAUGGUUUACUGCCGAAGGAUCGGCCCGCGUCUGAUUAGCUAGUUGGUGAGGUUAUGGCUCACCAAGGCGACGAUCAGUAGCUGGUCUGAGAGGAUGAUCAGCCACACUGGGACUGAGACACGACCCAGACUCCUACGAGAGGCAGCAGUGGGGAAUAUUGGAGAAUGGGGGCAACCCUGAUCCAGCCAUGCCGCGUGAGUGAUGACGGCCUUAGGGUUGUAAAGCUCUUUUCUCCGGGACGAUAAUGACGGUACCGGAAGAAUAAGCCCCGGCUAACUUCGUG
rnacentral:rRNA from 1 species